AUGUCUGAAGCCAAAGGACGGUAAAGUGAAGGAGGGAGAUUUGGGACGCGGGAGAAGCUAGCCUCCCUCUGUCGCCCUCAGCUGACUGAGAGAAAGACAAACCGCUCGCCUCUGCUACUACAAGUUCCUCAGAAGAGCCCUCAUUGACCCGACCUCAACAAACAGGCAGUGAGAGUGUGCAGCAGAGCCCCAACAGAGCGCCAAUUCAGCCCGACGCAACCAGAUCCCUCCGUCACACACAGAGGGCUCUCACAUCUGAGUGCUGAACCUGAGCAGGGUGCACGAUGCACGUCGGAAGGCUGCUUCAGUCUCACCUCCAUUUGCUCAUUGUCAAUGCUCUCUUACUCUGGGACAAAUCCUACAGACUCGUGGACAAUAAUGGAAGUCAGAUGCUCUUUAUGACCUGGUACCACAGUGGAUAUCAUCAGUUCAAUGUCUGCUGGAAAUGAGAGGAUUUUCCUGCAGUGGUGUGGCCAGAAAUUCAAUCAUAUUAAUCAAAACCCUGUGAGAACUAACAUACAAGUUUGCACCAAUGAAAUCACCACUCAAAACUGACUAGUAUAGAAUGACCUGGUGUGCUGUAAAAUUGGCUCCUAUUGUUAAUAAACCUCAUUCUAGUGUCCAAUAUCAAGAUUGUUUUCUUCUGGAAAUCUACACUUAUACACAGCUUUCUGAUCUUAAGAGAAGUUGAGCCUUAAUAAAAAGCUGUAUGCAGAGUAUCACCACAUAACCACUUCAACUGAGCUCCUGUGUGAGUAGGAAAAGUUAUCCUUAUCCAUGUGUAAACAGGAAAUUUAGUUGAAAUAUCAAUCAACUUCUCACAAGUAAUUUCUUUGUGGGUUGCCCCCACUUUGGUCCUACCAGGAAGGGCCACAAACCACAUAUUAGCCUAUCUAAACGUUCUUUCAUUCCAGGCAACAGAUGUUGUCCUGUGGCGCAGUCCACCUUUAUCAUCUC